rnacentral:tRNA from 1 species
AGUACUGUGGCUUAGUUGGUUAAAGCGUCGAGUUGGCGAAUACGGAGUUGUGGGUUAGAAUUACACCAGAACAA